AUGAACGCUGGCGGCAUGUCUAAGGCAUGCAAGUCGAACGGUUCGCCAUAGCUCGCAAGAGCGACGGCGGAUAGUGGCAAACGGGAGCGGAACACAUUGGUAACCUACCUCGAGCUCGUGAACAACCAUUGGAAACGGUGGCUAAUACACGAUAUAGUCCCGACGGUAAACGUCGGGAUAAAAGCUCCGGCGGCACGAGAGGGGCCUAUGUCCUAUCAGCUUGUUGGUGUGGUAAUGGCUCACCAAGGCUAUGACGGGUACCGGGCGUGAGAGCGUGGCCCGGCUCACUGGGACUGAGACACUGCCCAGACACCUACGGGUGGCUGCAGUCGAGAAUCUUCCGCAAUGCACGAAAGUGUGACGGAGCAAUGCCGCGUGAUUGAUGAAGGCCUUCGGGUCGUAAAGAUCUUUUAUCAGGGACGAACAAAUGACGGUACCUGAUGAAUAAGAGGUUGCUAACUCUGU
rnacentral:rRNA from 1 species